CUCACUACAUUUAUUACUGACUCCUCAGCAAUAUGCCUAUAGCAGUUAAACAAGCUGGUAACCUGCUUAGAAAUGUAGUUAUUGGAUGGCGAGGAAAUGGUUAAUGACAUGAACGUACAUGAGAUCAUGGCACAUCACAACAUUUCACAUCAUACUAUACCACGUGAAUCAAACAUUCAUCCAGGUUAGUCGUUCACCCUUCUGCAUCCGAAUCCGCACCUAUAAUCCUUAAUUGAGAUUUAGGAUGACAAGCACGCAACUGGUUAAUGGGAACCCACUUUUCAAUAAAAUCACCAUAC